UACGGAGGGUGCAAGCGUUGCUCGGAAUUAUUGGGCGUAAAGGGUAGGUAGGUGGUCUCAUUUGUCUGGGGUGAAAUCCUUGAGCUUAACUCAAGAAGUGCCUCAGAAACGGUGAGACUAGAGUUCUGGAGAGGGUCGUGGAAUUCCCGGUGUAGCGGUGAAAUGCGCAGAUAUCAGGAGGAACACCAGCGGCGAAGGCGGCGCUCUGGGCCGGAACUGACGCUGAGGAGCGAAAGCGUGGGGAGCGAACAGG
rnacentral:rRNA from 1 species